rnacentral:rRNA from 1 species
CACAGUGUAGCAAUACAUGGGUGGCGACCGGCAAACGGGUGCGGAACACGUACGCAACCUUCCUUCAGGCGGGGAAUAGCCCAGAGAAAUUUGGAUUAAUACCCCAUAAUAUUUUGAGAUGGCAUCAUCUUAUUAUUAAAGCUACGGCACCUGGAGAUGGGCGUGCGGCUGAUUAGGUAGUUGGCGGGGUAAUGGCCCACCAAGCCUACGAUCAGUAGCUGAUGUGAGAGCAUGAUCAGCCACACGGGCGCUGAGACACGGGCCCGACUCCUACGGGAGGCAGCAGUAAGGAAUAUUGGUCAAUGGACGCAAGUCUGAACCAGCCAUGCCGCGUGGAGGAUGAAGGUCCUCUGGAUUGUAAACUUCUUUUAUCUGGGACGAAAAAAGGGUUUUCUAACUCGUCUGACGGUACCAGAUGAAUAAGCACCGGCUAACUCCGUGCCAGCAGCCGCGGUAAUACGGAGGGUGCAAGCGUUAUCCGGAUUCACUGGGUUUAAAGGGUGCGUAGGCGGGCAUUUAAGUCAGUGGUGAAAUACCUGAGCUUAACUUGGGAACUGCCAUUGAUACUAUUUGUCUUGAAUGUCGUGGAGGUUAGCGGAAUAUGUCAUGUAGCGGUGAAAUGCUUAGAUAUGACAUAGAACACCUAUUGCGAAGGCAGCUAACUACGCGAAUAUUGACGCUGAGGCACGAAAGCGUGGGGAUCAAACAGGAUUAGAUACCCUGGUAGUCCACGCCCUAAACGAUGAUUACUCGACAUUAGCGAUACACUGUUAGUGUCUGAGCG